AACGGCCGCGUUAGCGUGAGCGUGCUAAGGUAGCGUAAUAAUUAGCCUUUUAAUUGGAGGCCAGUGAAUGGCAACACGGAAAACCCCUGUAUCACGUAUAUUAAUAAAAUUUUAUUUUUGGGUGAAAAAGCCCAAAUAAUAGAGGAAGACAAAAAGACCACGCGGAGCUUUACUUUGUCAAGCCAAACAAAUCUGCCAGAUAGGUUAUGCUAAUAAGUUUGGUUGGGGCAACCCUGGAACCUAAAGCUUCCAGUAAUCAUAGAACUUCAUCAAAAACAUCUUCGGACUAAAAAGAAGUUACCCCGGGGAUAACAGCGUAAUCCAACUUAAGAGUACGCAUCGAAAGUUGGGUUUGCGACCUCGAUGUUGGCUUAAGGUAAUUCACAUGANNAGCCG
rnacentral:rRNA from 1 species